rnacentral:rRNA from 1 species
UAGGGAAUCUUCGGCAAUGGGGGCAACCCUGACCGAGCAACGCCGCGUGAGUGAAGAAGGUUUUCGGAUCGUAAAGCUUUGUUGUAAGAGAAGAACGUGUGUGAGAGUGGAAAGUUCACACAGUGACGGUAACUUACCAGAAAGGGACGGCUAACUACGUGCCAGCAGCCGCGGUAAUACGUAGGUCCCGAGCGUUGUCCGGAUUUAUUGGGCGUAAAGCGAGCGCAGGCGGUUUAAUAAGUCUGAAGUUAAAGGCAGUGGCUUAACCAUUGUUCGCUUUGGAAACUGUUAAACUUGAGUGCAGAAGGGGGGAGUGGAAAUCCAUGUGUAGCGGUGAAAUGCGUGGAUAUAUGGAGGAACACCGGUGGCGAAAGCGGCUCUCUGGUCUGUAACUGACGCUGAGGCUCGAAAGCGGGGGGAGCAAACAGG